UCAAAAACAGUUUUCUGAAAACACUAACUUUGGAAGUUAGAGGAUGGGUUUGCCCAUUUUUGAA
rnacentral:tRNA from 1 species